rnacentral:rRNA from 1 species
GGGCGUAAAGCGUGCGCAGGCGGUUUGGUAAGUCAGAUGUGAAAUCCCCGAGCUCAACUUGGGAACUGCGUUUGAAACUACCAGACUAGAAUAUGUCAGAGGGGGGUAGAAUUCCACGUGUAGCAGUGAAAUGCGUAGAGAUGUGGAGGAAUACCAAUGGCGAAGGCAGCCCCCUGGGAUAAUAUUGACGCUCAUGUACGAAAGCGUGGGGAGCGAACAGGAUUAGAUACCCUGGUAGUCCACGCCCUAAACGAUGUCAACUAGCUGUUGGAA